rnacentral:rRNA from 1 species
AGUGAACGCUGGCGGUAGGCCUAACACAUGCAAGUCGAACGGCAGCACAGUAAGAGCUUGCUCUUACGGGUGGCGAGUGGCGGACGGGUGAGGAAUACAUCGGAAUCUACUUUUUCGUGGGGGAUAACGUAGGGAAACUUACGCUAAUACCGCAUACGACCUACGGGUGAAAGCAGGGGAUCUUCGGACCUUGCGCGAUUGAAUGAGCCGAUGUCGGAUUAGCUAGUUGGCGGGGUAAAGGCCCACCAAGGCGACGAUCCGUAGCUGGUCUGAGAGGAUGAUCGGCCCCACGUGACCUGGGAGCCGGUCCAGGCUCCUACGGGAGGACGCGUGGGGGAGUUUUGGUCAAGGGGCGCAAGCCUGCUCCGGCCAAACCGGGUGGGUGAAGAAGGCCUUCGGUUUUGAAGGCCUUUUUUUUGGGAAAGAAAAGCAGGCGGUUAACUCCCCGCUGUUCUGGCGGUACCCAAAGAAUAAGCCCCGGCAAACUUCGU